UUGUUGCUGCAUUGUGUUUUGGCUUUGCUACCCUGUUUCUCGUCCGCGCCCCUAUCUCUGACUCCAUUCCUUCUCCCUCCACCUCUGCCUCUGCCACCAGCUCCAAAGGCAUCAAGUCCUUAGCUAGUAGAUAUCACAGCAUUGUGAUCAAAAUGGAUAGUUUUCCUCAUGAAGAACUUGAGGUGACAGCUUGGAUUGUGAAUGGUCUUAUAAUGCCAGCUUGUCACAAGAAGUAUAAACAUCUACAGAAAUGCAGUUUCAUCCAGAGCGCAUUAUAUAUUGAAAAAGAGGAAAGUGUUUCAAAAUUUAUCAAACUCAUUGAGAAAAAGGACGUCAGUGGUUCAUGAAGAUGUUAGUACCGAAUGCUUAAUGCAUUUUUAAUAUUCGUGUAUGAGGGCCAACAUUCA